AACCAGCACCUCAAGUGGUCAGGAUGAUUAUUGGGCCUAAAGCAUCCGUAGCCUGUUCUGUAAGUUUUCGGUUAAAUCCAUAAGCUCAACUUAUGGGCUGCCGAAAAUACUGCAGAACUAGGGAGUGGGAGAGGUAGACGGUACUCGGUAGGAAGGGGUAAAAUCCUUUGAUCUAUUGAUGACCACCUGUGGCGAAAGCGGCUACCUGGUCCGAUUUUGACGCUGAGGCGCGAAAGCGUGGGGAGCAAACAGG
rnacentral:rRNA from 1 species